rnacentral:rRNA from 1 species
AACGAACGCUGGCGGCAGGCUUAACACAUGCAAGUCGAACGCCCCGCAAGGGGAGUGGCAGACGGGUGAGUAACGCGUGGGAACAUACCCUUUCCUGCGGAAUAGCUCCGGGAAACUGGAAUUAAUACCGCAUACGCCCUACGGGGGAAAGAUUUAUCGGGGAAGGAUUGGCCCGCGUUGGAUUAGCGAGUUGGUGGGGUAAAGGCCUACCAAGGCGACGAUCCAUAGCUGGUCUGAGAGGAUGAUCAGCCACAUUGGGACUGAGACACGGCCCAAACUCCUACGGGAGGCAGCAGUGGGGAAUAUUGGACAAUGGGCGCAAGCCUGAUCCAGCCAUGCCGCGUGAGUGAUGAAGGCCUUAGGGUUGUAAAGCUCUUUCACCGAUGAAGAUAAUGACGGUAGUCGGAGAAGAAGCCCCGGCUAACUUCGUG